UUCCAGUCAAGUUUUUCUCUUCUCUUUCCCCUCUGGGAUUCUUUAAAACGAAAUGCAGGCAGAGUUCAAAGCCAGGCAUACUGAGGAAGACACAGCCUUAGGUUUGGAAAGAACACAGAACACUGCCAAUGGCUCCUCAGCUCAUGCCUCCUCCCUAUAGCUGCCCUUCCCUCAUAUUGACCAGCCCCUGAGUAGAUUUCUUAUUAGGAAGCCCAAGAGG